UGUCAAAUUGCUUUAAAGUUAGUGGGUAAGC
rnacentral:piRNA from 1 species